UGGGGAAUAUUGCGCAAUGGGGGAAACCCUGACGCAGCAACGCCGCGUGAAGGAUGAAGGUUUUCGGAUCGUAAACUUCUUUGAUGAGGGACGAAACAAAUGACGGUACCUCAAAAACAAGCCACGGCUAACUACGUGCCAGCAGCCGCGGUAAUACGUAGGUGGCGAGCGUUGUCCGGAAUUACUGGGUGUAAAGGGCGUGUAGGCGGGAAUGCAAGUCAGAUGUGAAAUACCGGGGCUUAACUUCGGGGCUGCAUCUGAAACUGUAUUUCUUGAGUGUCGGAGAGGAAAGUGGAAUUCCCAGUGUAGCGGUGAAAUGCGUAGAGAUUGGGAGGAACACCAGUGGCGAAGGCGACUUACUGGGCCGUAACUGACGUUGAUGCGCGAAAGCGUGGGGAGCGAACAGG
rnacentral:rRNA from 2 species